UCCGUGUUAACCACGGCAGUCUGUCUAGAGUGCCCAACUUAAUGCUGGCAACUAAACACAGGGGUUGCGCUCGUUGAGGGACUUAACCCGACAUGCCACCACACGAGCUGACGACAGCCAUGCAGCACCUGUCUCUUUGUCAUAUUGCUAUGAAAGCCUGAUCUCUCAGGUUGUCAAAGGAUGUCAAACCUAGGUAAGGUUCUGCGCGUUGCUUCGAAUUAAACCACAUAAUCCACCGCUUGUGCGGGCUCCCGUCAAUUCCUUUGAGUUUUAGUCUUGCGACCGUACUUCCCAGGCGGGGUACUUAUCGCGUUAGCUCCGAGACUGCAGGGGUCAACUCCCACAAUCUCUAGUACCCAUCGUUUACAGCGUGGACUAC
rnacentral:misc_RNA from 1 species